GACGAACGCUGGCGGCGUGCCUAAUACAUGCAAGUUGAGCGAUGAAGAUUGGUGCUUGCACCCAUUUGAAGAGCAGCGAACGGGUGAGUAACGCGUGGGGAAUCUGCCUUUGAGCGGGGGACAACAUUUGGAAACGAAUGCUAAUACCGCAUAACAACUUUAAACAUAAGUUUUAAGUUUGAAAGAUGCAAUUGCAUCACUCAAAGAUGAUCCCGCGUUGUAUUAGCUAGUUGGUGAGGUAAAGGCUCACCAAGGCGAUGAUACAUAGCCGACCUGAGAGGGUGAUCGGCCACAUUGGGACUGAGACACGGCCCGAACUCCUACGGGAGGCAGCAGUAGGGAAUCUUCGGCAAUGGACGAAAGUCUGACCGAGCAACGCCGCGUGAGUGAAGAAGGUUUUCGGAUCGUAAAACUCUGUUGGUAGAGAAGAACGUUGGUGAGAGUGGAAAGCUCAUCAAGUGACGGUAACUACCCAGAAAGGGACGGCUAACUACGUG
rnacentral:rRNA from 1 species